GAUGAACGCUGGCGGCGUGCCUAAUACAUGCAAGUCGAGCGAACAGACGAGGAGCUUGCUCCUCUGACGUUAGCGGCGGACGGGUGAGUAACACGUGGAUAACCUACCUAUAAGACUGGGAUAACUUCGGGAAACCGGAGCUAAUACCGGAUAAUAUAUUGAACCGCAUGGUUCAAUAGUGAAAGACGGUUUUGCUGUCACUUAUAGAUGGAUCCGCGCCGCAUUAGCUAGUUGGUAAGGUAACGGCUUACCAAGGCAACGAUGCGUAGCCGACCUGAGAGGGUGAUCGGCCACACUGGAACUGAGACGCGGUCCAGACUCCUACGGGAGGCAGCAGUAGGGAAUCUUCCGCAAUGGGCGAAAGCCUGACGGAGCAACGCCGCGUGAGUGAUGAAGGUCUUCGGAUCGUAAAACUCUGUUAUUGGGGAAGAACAAAUGUGUAAGUAACUAUGCACGUCUUGACGGUACCUAAUCAGAAAGCCACGGCUAACUACGUG
rnacentral:rRNA from 1 species